rnacentral:rRNA from 1 species
CACGUAGGGUGCGAGCGUUGUCCGGAAUUAUUGGGCGUAAAGAGCUCGUAGGCGGUGUGUCGCGUCGGCCGUGAAAACCUGCAGCUUAACUGUGGGCUUGCGGUCGAUACGGGCAUCACUGGAGUUCGGCAGGGGAGACUGGAAUUCCUGGUGUAGCGGUGAAAUGCGCAGAUAUCAGGAGGAACACCGGUGGCGAAGGCGGGUCUCUGGGCCGGUACUGACGCUGAGGUGCGAAAGCGUGGGGAGCAAACAGG